UCGGACGUGGUGCACGGUGCACACCCGCUUUUCUUGAGAGAUGAUCCAAGAGUCAGACGUCAGCGGAAGCCCGGGUUCGACUCCCGGCGUCCGAA